rnacentral:Y_RNA from 1 species
GGCUGGUCCCAGUGCAGUGGUGUUUACAGCUAAUUGAUCACAACCAGUUACAGAUUCCUUUGUUCCUUUUCCACUCCCACUGCUUCACUUGACUAGCCUUAA